rnacentral:rRNA from 1 species
UUGUUGGUGAGGUAACGGCUCACCAAGGCGACGAUGGAUAGCCGGACUGAGAGGUUGACCGGCCACACUGGAACUGAGACAAGGUCCAGUCCCCUACGGGAGGCGCAGGUGGGAAUAGUUUGCAAUGGGCGAAAGCCUGACAACGCGACGCCGCGUGAACGAUGAAGGCUCUUGGGUUGUAAAGUUCAUUAGACAGGAAAGAAUAAGUCAUGGUAAAUAGCCAUGGCGAUGACGGUACCUGUUGAAAGCCCCGGCUAACUACGUGCCAGCAGCCGCGGUAAUACGUAGGGGGCGAGCGUUGUUCGGAAUCACUGGGCGUAAAGAGCACGUAGGUGGGUUGGCAAGUCAUGGGGUAAAUCUUUCGGCUCAACUGGAAGGCUUCUCGUGAAACUACCAAUCUUGAAUAUGGGAGAGGAAGGUGGAAUUCCGCAAGUAGCGGUGAAAUGCGUAGAUAUGCGGGAGAACACCCGUGGCGAAGGCGGCCUUCUGGCCCGAUAUUGACACUGAGGUGCGAAAGCGUGGGGAGCGAACGGGAUUAGAUACCCCGGUAGUCCACGCCCUAAACGAUGGGAACUAGGUGUAGGGGGUAUCGACCCCCUCUGUGCCGCAGCUAACGCAUUAAGUUCCCUGCCUGGGGAGUACGGUCGCAAGAUUAAAACUCAAAGGAAUUGACGGGGGCCCGCACAAGCGGUGGAGUAUGUGGUUUAAUUCGAUGCAACGCGAAGAACCUUACCCAGACUUGACAUGUGGAGUAAAGCCGUGGAAACACGGCCCGCCCUAACAGGUAUCUUUACACAGGUGCUGCAUGGCUGUCGUCAGCUCGUGUCGUGAGAUAUUGGGUUAAGUCCCGCAACGAGCGCAACCCCUUUUCUUAGUUGCUACCAGGAAAGCUGAGCACUCUAAGGAGACUGCCGGUGAUAAACCGGAGGAAGGUGGGGAUGAGGUCAAGUCAGCAUGGCCCUUACGUCUGGGGCUACACACGUACUACAACGCCAGGGACAAAGGGUCGCAAAAUCGCGAGAUCAAGCCAAUCCCAAAAAACCUGGCUCAGUUCAGAUUGCAGGCUGCAACUCGCCUGCAUGUAGUCGGAAUCGCUAGUAAUCGCAGAUCAGCACGCUGCGGUGAAUACGUUCCCGGGCCUUGUACACACCGCCCGUCACACCACCCGAGUUGAGUGCACCCGAAGUCGCUGCUCCAACCCCGCAAGGGGAGGAAGGCGCCGAAGGUGUGUUUAGUAAGGGGGGUGAAGUCGUAACAAGGUA